rnacentral:lncRNA from 1 species
GGGUUUUCAGAGCGGAGGUGGGGGCUCCCGGCAGGGGAAGUUAGAGCCGAGGGAGCGGCAGGAGCACGUGGGCUGAGUGGGGGUGGGAGGACGCAGACGGCGGAGUAACCGGUGGAAGUGUCAAAGAGGAAGGAGUGGAGGGCUGCUGAGGUGACAGGGUGUGGUCUGUGAGGGAGCGGGCGAACCCGGAGAGGAGAGCAGAGAGACCCACCAGGACUAGGAGGCAGCGGGGAGCGUGCCUGCGUCGCUCGGAGCGGUGACAGCAAGGAGCGCAGCGCGGGGGCCGGGCGGCAAGGGGAGUUUCCAGUCCUCGAUAAGUGGAGUCCCUGCUCUGAGCUGCGCCAGCGCCUUCCGCCUGGGCCCGCGGUGCCAGACACCUGCCGAGUCCGAAGCGGGAGUCCGGCUGAGCCUUCGGCCCCCAAGAGACACCGUAAGAACCACAGAGUGUUAAACUUGGGGCUUGGAAAUCAGAGUCUGUCCCUGAAUUUCACAAAGGAAACGACUGACAUCAAAAGAAGGCAAGGUACAGCUGUUCGCAUUUUCAGGCCUGUGUGUAAGUGGUCACCACCUAUGUGGUACAGAAUGCGACAUAUUUUUGUUGUUGUUGUUGUUUCGUUUUUGUUUUUUUUAAUUCUGGAAGCUUGAUUUUGUUUGCUUGGAGCCACAGUAGGGUUUGUUCUCUUCAUCUCCUCUUCCCCUUUCUCUCCCCUAGCUGAUUUCCAUGCAUUCUGGUUUCAAAUACAUUCUAAGGCCAAGUACAUUGAGGAGAAAUAAUGCAUACAUGACCCAGAGUGGAGCUUAACUUAGGUUGUCAAACUAACAGGCAGAGAGAAGAGAAAAAGAGGUAGAAAGUCACGGAGGGAGGGAAGAAGGAAAUGAUGGAAAAAAAGAACUUCUUAAAAAUCAACCUGUGAAACAAAACACUGCUUGCCAAAUAUGUGUCUGGCUCCUGUGGACUUUCUAGUUCUGCCUGAUUACACAUUUCCCCAGUAGGUUCCUGAAUCUAAAAGAAUUUACCUAGCUGAAUGUAGGGGCAGGUUGGAUAGAAAAGUCUGUAUAACACAUGAAUUUCCCUCCCUGUAUUUCUGGCCCUUGUCCUUUGAGUUUCCUGGCAGCGUCAGGAUUACCCAAUCUGUACCAGCUUUGUGUAAAGGAAGGAACGUGAGUCUGGAGUAAGGCAGUCAGGGGUGUGAAUUCCAGUUUUGUUAUUUAGGACUGUGUGGUCUCGGACAAGUCCCUUGAUGACUCUGGAAUUUGAAACCCACCUUUAACAUGGAAUAAAGAUAAUUUCUUUUUUACAGUGUUCUGACUAUAACAGAUAAUCCAUUACAAUGCCCUGAAUCAGGGGCCAUCUCAGAUUAGGUACUUCAUAUUUACAAGGGAUUACUAUUAGUUGGUACAAAAGUAAUUGUGGUUUUUGCCAUUAAAAGU